CAAUCCUGGGUUGACUCCCUCGCGCUUUUGAGGCAAAAAUGUUUCGAUAAAACAGCCGGAGGCUCGGCAGAUGUAAUUGAUGGGUUUCGGAGCUGCAUUCUGUAUCCUCUUUAAGUAAAUGCUGUGGUGCUAAACUGUCCGAUGGUCUCUGAGAAAGUAUCUGUUAUCAGGUGUAACAUUAUUCAAUGCUUUUCAGACUGUAAACCAGUUCCUUAUAAAUGCCUCUUUUGUUUUUCCAGUUUCCCAUCA